rnacentral:rRNA from 1 species
AUUGAACGCUGGCGGCAUGCCUUACACAUGCAAGUCGAACGGUAACGGGCCUUCGGGUGCCGACGAGUGGCGAACGGGUGAGUAAUACAUCGGAACGUGCACGAUCGUGGGGGAUAACGAGGCGAAAGCUUUGCUAAUACCGCAUACGAUCUACGGAUGAAAGCAGGGGACCGAAAGGCCUUGCGCGGACGGAGCGGCCGAUGGCAGAUUAGGUGGUUGGUGGGAUAAAAGCUUACCAAGCCGACGAGCUGUAGCUGGUCUGAGAGGAGGAUCAGCCACACUGGGACUGGGACACGGCCAAGACUCCUACGGGAGGCAGCGGUGGGGAAUUUUGGACAAUGGGCGCAAUCCUGAUCCAGCCAUGCCGCGUGCAGGAUGAAGGCCUUCGGGUUGUAAACUGCUUUUGUACGGAACGAAAAGCCUUCUUUUAAUACAGGAGGGUCAUGACGGUACCGUAAGAAUAAGCACCGGCUAACUACGUG